GAUGAACGCUGGCGGCGUGCCUAAUACAUGCAAGUCGAGCGAACGGACGAGAAGCUUGCUUCUCUGAUGUUAGCGGCGGACGGGUGAGUAACACGUGGAUAACCUACCUAUAAGACUGGGAUAACUUCGGGAAACCGGAGCUAAUACCGGAUGAUAUUUUGAACCGCAUGGUUCAAAAGUGAAAGACGGUCUUGCUGUCACUUAUAGAUGGAUCCGCGCUGCAUUAGCUAGUUGGUAAGGUAACGGCUUACAAAGGCAACGAUGCAUAGCCGACCUGAGAGGGUGAUCGGCCACACUGGAACGGAGACACGGUCCAGACUCCUACGGGAGGCAGCAGUAGGGAAUCUUCCGAAAAGGGCGAAAGCCUGACGGAGCAACGCCGCGUGAGUGAUGAAGGUCUUCGGAUCGUAAAACUCUGUUAUUAGGGAAGAACAUAUGUGUAAGUAACUGUGCACAUCUUGACGGUACCUAAUCAGAAAGCCACGGCUAACUACGUG
rnacentral:rRNA from 1 species